rnacentral:rRNA from 1 species
GGUUUGAUCAUGGCUCGAGAUUGAACGCUGGCGGGAUGCUUUACACAUGCAAGUCAGGCAGCGGCACGGACUUCGGUCUGGUGGCGAGUGGCGAACGGGUGAGUAAUGUAUCGGAACGUGCCGUAGCGGGGAUAACUGCGCGAAAGCGUAGCUAUUACCGCAUACGCCCUUCGGGGAAAGCGGGGGCAACCGGGCCUCGCGCUAUUAGAGCGGCCGAUAUCAGUUAGCUAGUUGGUGGGAGUAACGGCUCGCAAGGCGACGAUCCGUAGCUGGUUUGAGAGGGCGACCAGCCACACUGGGACUGAGACACGGCCCAGACUCCUACGGGGAGGCAGCAGUGGGGGAAUUUUGGACAAUGGGGAAACCUGAUCCAGCCAUCCCGCGUGUGCGAUGAAGGCCUUCGGGUUGUAAAAGCUUUUGGCAGGAAAAACAGCCAGCGGGAUAAUACCCCGUGCAACUGACGGUACCUGCAGAAUAAGCACCAGCUAACGUGCCAGCAGCCGCGGUAAUACGUAGAAUGCAAGCGUUAAUCGGAAUUACUGGGCGUAAAGCGUGCGCAGGCGGUUCGGAAAGAAGAUGUGAAAUCCCCAGAGCUUAACUUUGGAACUGCAUUUUUAACUACCGAGCUAGUGUGUGUCAGGGAGGUGGAAUUCCGCGUGUAGCAGCAGUGAAAUGCGUAGAUAUGCGGAGGAACACACCGAUGGCGAAGGCAGCCUGGGAUAACACUGACGCUCAUGCACGAAAGCGUGGGGAGCAAACAGGAUUAGAUACCCUGGUAGUCCACGCCUAAACGAUGUCAACUAGCUGUUGGGGCCUUCGGGCCUUGGUAGCGCAACUAACGCUGAAGUUGACCGCCUGGGUGCAGUGCGGGCUAAAACUCAAAGGAAUUGACGGGGACCCGCACAAGCGGUGGAUGAUGUGGAUUAAUUCGAUGCAACGCGAAAAACCUUACCUACCCUUGACAUGUCUGGAAUCCCGAAGAGAUUUGGGAGUGCUCGCAAGAGAACCGGAACACAGGUGCUGCAUGGCUGUCGUCAGCUCGUGUCGUGAGAUGUUGGGUUAAGUCCGCAACGAGCGCAACCCUUGUCAUUAGUUGCUACGAAAGGGCACUCUAAUGAGACUGCCAGUGACAAACCGGAGGAAGGUGGGGAUGACGUCAGGUCCUCAUGGCCCUUAUGGGUAGGGCUUCACACGUCAUACAAUGGUCGGGACAGAGGGUCGCCAACCCGCGAGGGGGAGCCAAUCCCAAGAAACGAUCGUAAGUCGGAUCGCAGUCUGCAACUCGACUGCGUGAAGUCGGAAUCGCUAGUAAUCGCGGAUCAGCAUGUCGCGGUGAAUACGUUCCCGGGUCUUGUACACACCGCCCGUCACACCAUGGGAGUGGGUUUUACCCGAAGUGGCCUAACCGUAAGGAGGGCGAUUACCACGGUAGGAUUCAUGACUGGGGUGAAGUCGUAACAAGGUAA